rnacentral:rRNA from 1 species
AUUGAACGCUGGCGGCAUGCUUUACACAUGCAAGUCGAACGGUAACAGGCCGCAAGGUGCUGACGAGUGGCGAACGGGUGAGUAAUGCAUCGGAACGUGCCCAGUCGUGGGGGAUAACGCAGCGAAAGCUGUGCUAAUACCGCAUACGAUCUAUGGAUGAAAGCGGGGGACCGUAAGGCCUCGCGCGAUUGGAGCGGCCGAUGUCAGAUCAGGUAGUUGGUGGGGUAAAGGCCUACCAAGCCGACGAUCUGUAGCUGGUCUGAGAGGACGACCAGCCACACUGGGACUGAGACACGGCCCAGACUCCUACGGGAGGCAGCAGUGGGGAAUUUUGGACAAUGGGCGCAAGCCUGAUCCAGCAAUGCCGCGUGCAGGAAGAAGGCCUUCGGGUUGUAAACUGCUUUUGUACGGAACGAAACGGUCCGGGUUAAUACCCUGGGCUAAUGACGGUACCGUAAGAAUAAGCACCGGCUAACUACGUGCCAGCCGCCGCGGUAA